GGGUGUCGAUCGAAACCCUAGCGGAUCUUCCUGAUGUUAUAUGUUAUGAGUGCAAGAGUGGAUUUGUUGAAUCAAUUUCUGCUACUACAGUUCCAUCUCCUGGUGACGCGCCAUCACGAGCCGGUUCUGAUCCUAUUGAUGACCCUGGUUUUGGUAAUCAGUUUAUUCACGUUCUCCGCCUCAUAGCCGAGGCUGCACGUGAGGAGGACGCUCCUCCUCCGCCUCCCUCCGAACACGCAGAUCUGUCUGAUGAUGAUUUUUUACGGAUCGAGUUGGAUGGAUGGGUUGAUGAUGAGGAUGAUGAAGAGGAGCAUUCAGUGGAAGGCCAUGAGGAUGAGAAUCAUGAGGUGGAGAAUGAAAAUGAGAACCUGGAUCAAUCUGAUGGUGAGCAUGGAGAGGUGAAUGCGGUGAACGAGAAUCGGAGUGAAGAUGAAGAAGAG
rnacentral:lncRNA from 1 species